ensembl:lncRNA
GAAAGGAUCACUGAAGGUGGCUUAAUCCACAUGUAUGAGAAGAUGACUCUCUUACCGUCCCCUCAAGAGGACCAUCCAGUGUCUUCACGAAGAGGGAGACGAUACCUUGCCUUCUCUGGAUAGUGAAUGAGUCCUAGAAUGGCCAAGAAAUCUUUCCACGGUCCCAGCUCUUGCAUGGGAGGGAGUAGAGGAAAUUUUAUAAAACCCACACACCUCCUGUAAGCCUGGAGUGGACUCUUGCCUGUCUCUGCGGGACCAGGAUCAGAACGCAAACUCAGGCGCACUGUGGCGGCUUCAGCUGCAGAGUAUCUAACUGCGUAAUGAGCAUCCAUAUGCAUUAGCGGAGAUUGACUCCCAGCCCCAAAACAAGAGGAAGCUCUGACUGGCUGAAGACAAUCAACAUCUUUUGGGUGCCCAGCUGCGGUCCCCAGUUCAGGAGCGGACAUGUGACCCACGUAGGUGCAACUGAGGAGACUCGCCAAACGCUCGCUUGAACUGUGGAAACGGAAGUGCUCGUGCUGCGCCCCGGAUGCAAAUGAGAAAGCAGGAAGCAUUGUCUGUUGUAACCACAUUGCAAUCAUGAAAAAAGCCAGCUUGAGAAUGAAGAUGACUUGCAAAAUAACUGGAAAAGAAAUGACAGAGAAACCAAGCCGUAGCAGUGAUCACACUGCACCCCAAACUGGUAAUUCCUCUGAACAUUUCAGUUCUAUGUCAGGAAGGUCCCUUUAUUUUUAUGUCCAUUGGAGCUGAGUUUUCUGUUGCUUGGAAAUGAAUGACUGCAUCUGUGGAUCCCCAGCUUUUAAAAGUGCCCUCAUCCGUCACAGGAUGGGUUGUAACGUCUGGACUGAAAUCGCAUGAUUCGUAUGAAAGUGCUUUGUAAAUCCUAAAAUUCUGUAGAAAGGUUAAGAGAAUAUUGCUCUUGCCCUGAAAACAUCUGUAAGUAAAAGAGUUAAUCUUUCUCCAGGGCCCCAAAAGACAAUUUAGUUAAAUGUAAGGAAAGAGGCAGAAUGAAGGAUUCAUUUUGAUAACAAUUGGCUUUGAGAAGCAAAAGCCAAUUAUUCAAAGCUUCCUGCUUAUUUACUCGGUUCUAUUUAAGAGGAUCCGUCAGGCUGAGCAGGAUUUGCCCUAACUGGAUCGGUUCAGAGAGAGCUGCGAAGCUGCAAAUUCACUCUCAGGAAAAUUCCAUCUCUGUUCGAGAGUUGGAGGAGGCGAUGAAGAGCCAGCUCUCUUAAGAGUCCCUGGGGUUGGGGGGGGCCAUCCUCUGUGCUGCUCAGGAAAACUCUGGUCUGAGGAUGGUGCAGAAUAGUCAACGGAAGUGGGCUCGCUGUUGGUCUUCCUGUUGGUGCAAAGGACUGUGGCCCAUGCCCACGCUCUGUCACUCAAUCUGCACGGACCUCUCUGAGCUUCAGUCGCUUCAUCUGCAGAAUGGGACUGAGGGCAAUGCCAAGCCUCAUCACGGCAUGUGUUAGCUAGAAAUGGGUGUGAUUUCAUUCUUCUUGCCAUUUUAUGGAAAAGGAGAGAGGGAGGCAAGACCUAAAAAAAACUCCCAGGGGUAAGCAGAGGAUACAGAUGACAAUGACAUGGAUUCUGCAUUACUCCUCAGACAAAAAUUUCUGCCACCGCCUCUUAUCUUGCCAUAGAGGCACUCAACAGUCAAGAAUCCGUUGAGUGCCCACGACG